rnacentral:lncRNA from 1 species
UUUCAAGCAAAGAUCUAAACUUUAUCCAAAAUAAUCAAAGAAUAAGGUCAAAAGGCAAAACAAUCAAUAUUAACUAUUCUUUUCAACAUAAAGAAAAUAACUUUACAUGCUAAAAAUAAACAUAUUCAACAAUAAUGAGUUUAAACAAGACAUGAUUAUGUUUUUCAAACAAAGAUCUAAACUUUAUCCAAAAUAAUCAAAGAAUAAGGUGAAAAGGCGAAACAUUCAACAUUAACUAUUCUUUUCAACAUAAAGAAAAUAACUUUACAUGCUAAAAACAAAUAUAUCCAACAACAAUGAGUUUAAACAAAGCAUAAAUACAUCUUUUAAGC